GGAUGUUGUCUUAGAGAUCACUCCUUGUGGAGAAUAUUGUGAGCCUACAACUAUUCAGGAUGUAUGCUUCAGAGGAGGGUGAUCUGAUUAUAGCCCAGAAGAAUGAUCAUGGUGGCAUUGAAGAUAGUCAUUGGCUUACUCAUGUUCUUCACUGAGACAGUGAUUGGGCUCCAGAACAGUCUCCCCAGGGCAGCCUCAAGCUGCCAGAGUUCAAGGAGUGUCUGGACAAGGCUCUCAGAAUUGCGGUCCAGUUUUUGGAUAGUCCUUUUUUGGAGCUUGGACUUGAUGAUCCUUAUGUGUCCCUUCCAACUUGCGAUAUUCUAUGAUUCUUCAAAAGUGACAGAAUAAGUUCUGUAUAUAAAGAUGGACAAUGACACACAGUGCAGCACGUGAUCUCUAAGUCCUAGCUUCUUUAGCUUCUUGCCUCAUUGAAGUAGUAAUAUUGAGAGAAAAUACUGCAUGGCAUUGUCAAGUGUUUGUCAAGUGUCUUACGUGUUAACUAGCAAAUAAAAUUGAAGUUUUACCUGUCAAUGCUAUUAUUAUUGGAUUGUCCUGUCCUUUGCUUGUUUCUUAAGACUCAGAUGCUUUCAUCUUGAACUAGUUACUAAGAAGUUAUUUGUUGCAAGAAUGUGGUUGUAUAGUGAAGAGGAAUCCUAUUGUAUGAUGAAUAAAAGGAGCCUAACAAACCAAUAUGGUCAAAAUGUUUAGCUUUGUCUGUGGUCUUUCAGUAAGAUAAAGCAAGCUAUUUGUUUAA